GAUGAAGAACGCAGCGAAAUGCGAUAAGUAAUGCGAAUUGCAGAAUUUCCGUGAGUCAUCGAAUCUUUGAACGCACAUUGCGCCCGCUGGUAUUCCGGCGGGCAUGCCUGUUCGAGCGUCAUUUCAACCCUCAAGCCCCCGGGUUUGGUGUUGGGGAUCGGCUCUGCCCUUCUGGGCGGUGCCGCCCCCGAAAUACAUUGGCGGUCUCGCUGCAGCCUCCAUUGCGUAGUAGCUAACACCUCGCAACUGGAACGCGGCGCGGCCAUGCCGUAAAACCCCAACUUCUGAAUGUUGACCUCGGAUCAGGUAGGAAUACCCGCUGAACUUAAGCAUAUCAAUAAGCGGAGGA
rnacentral:misc_RNA from 1 species